UUUCGGCUAUUUUGCCUUCGCUGCAGACGUCAUACCACCUGUUUCCUCUAACAGGAAUAAGAGGGAGGAGGAUAGAAAAUAUACGUGCUUUGUGUUUAUAAGUGGCUUCCCUGUGCGGUUACAUUUGUCAUUAUUCAAAGUUGGGCCGUUGUCUUGCAAAACCGUGUCCUAAACCACCUUUGACUAUGCCAAACCGUGUUUUGUCGCCGUAAAUGCAACUUUUUGUGAACAACUUUAAUAGGAUACAUAGCCACAAUUUACAAGAAGCAGAAUCGAGAAUUGUCACAGAACCAAGACGGACAACAUACAGUAAAAGAUACAGAAGUGAAAAGAGACAGAAAGGAACAAUAACCAAUAAAAUUAGACAAAACAAAAGAAACAAAAAAGCAAAAUAGAAAGAAAAAAAUACCGAAAAUCUGUCGAAUUGUGCUCCUAACGAAGAGACAAGAAAAAAGGUACAACGAAGCACUAUAAAACUAUCCGUUUACAUGAGCUAAGUCUGCAAAUUAAGAGUUACCAUACCUGAGACUGUUAAAAUCUGCUUAAUGUUGUGCUCAAUAUAGCUGCAUUCACUGUGUACGUUUGUAAAAUAUAUUUAACACUCAAACGCCAAGACGUACUAUGUAGGGGGGGGUAAGCUUAUAAUUUGUGGAAAAAUGUUAUCACAUGGUGAUAAUCCGUGGAUUAUUAACUGGCUUGUAUAGGUGUAUCAGGAGAAUCUAUGGUGAUAUUUCAUUUACAAAUAUGUGUAGAAAUGACAUGCUUUGAAGUUUGGCGUCUCAUUUUGUUGCAUUUUCAACGAAAGAAAGAUUGGCUGGUCAAUUUUUUUCUCGCUUGUAUUUUCAGUGCCACUAUUGCUAGUGAAAUUAUAAUUGAAAUGUCAAUUUAACUUUGCCAAUUAUCUGGCUUUCUUGCGUUGAUGGAUUUAUUACUUGGUAAUAAAAAGAAAACCAAAGACGAAAAAUUAAUUAGGAUGUCUAUGUUAUAUGCAAAUAUUGGUUUAUGCAGUCGCUCUUUUGGUAUGGCUACCUUACGACCUUGCGGUCAAUAUAUAUGUCAAAGGAGCACGAGGUGUAGCGCUGAGAGCAGUUCGCUUUGGAGUGCUUGUGAAUAAAUUUCAUGGAAGCUAGGCGUAAAGAAAGUUCAUAGUACUAAAAUCAGUUGCAUCAAUUGGUUGUGUAAAUCAGGAUUGAAGAAAUUUUACUCGAAAAAAGAGUCAAUGUUGUGAAAGAAAAAAUGUACACAAAGCUUAAGAGAAAGGUUGAGCUUGUUUACAAAUGCACUUAACAUAAUAAUCUCAACCGAGAUGACGUUCUCAGUCGUCAUUGCUUCAAACUGAAAAUUGUGUUCUUUGUUUGAGAUGGUUGUAGGACACCUAGCCGACUUAAGACUCGGUAUCAACAUUCAGAAGGAAUGAAAAAGAAAUAAUUCUUUACUCUCAAACAAAUUACCAUGAUAGCUUUUUAGGCAGGGGUAUUGAUUAAAGCGGAAAUCUGUCCCAACUUGUUUGCUUGCUGCUCGACAUUAAAAAGACUCAAUGUUUU